rnacentral:rRNA from 1 species
UGGGGAAUUUUGGACAAUGGGCGAAAGCCUGAUCCAGCAAUGCCGCGUGUGUGAAGAAGGCCUUCGGGUUGUAAAGCACUUUUGUCCGGAAAGAAAUCCUUGGCUCUAAUACAGUCGGGGGAUGACGGUACCGGAAGAAUAAGCACCGGCUAACUACGUGCCAGCAGCCGCGGUAAUACGUAGGGUGCAAGCGUUAAUCGGAAUUACUGGGCGUAAAGCGUGCGCAGGCGGUUUGCUAAGACCGAUGUGAAAUCCCCGGGCUCAACCUGGGAACUGCAUUGGUGACUGGCAGGCUAGAGUAUGGCAGAGGGGGGUAGAAUUCCACGUGUAGCAGUGAAAUGCGUAGAGAUGUGGAGGAAUACCGAUGGCGAAGGCAGCCCCCUGGGCCAAAUACUGACGCUCAUGCACGAAAGCGUGGGGAGCAAACAGGAUUAGAUACCCUGGUAGUCCACGCCCUAAACGAUGUCAACUAGUUGUUGGGGAUUCAUUUCCUUAGUAACGUAGCUAACGCGUGAAGUUGACCGCCUGGGGAGUACGGUCGCAAA